rnacentral:rRNA from 1 species
UACGAAGGGGGCUAGCGUUGCUCGGAAUCACUGGGCGUAAAGGGCGCGUAGGUGGCCAACUAAGUCAGACGUGAAAUCCCUCGGCUUAACCGGGGGAACUGCGUCUGAUACUGGAUGGCUUGAGUUUGGGAGAGGGACGCGGAAUUCCAGGUGUAGCGGUGAAAUGCGUAGAUAUCUGGAGGAACACCGGUGGCGAAGGCGGCGUCCUGGACCAAUACUGACACUGAAACGCGAAAGCCAGGGGAGCAAACGGG